AUCAGUGGCGAACGGGUGAGUAACACGUGAGCAACCUGCCCUGGACUCUGGGAUAAGCGCUGGAAACGGCGUCUAAUACUGGAUAUGAGCCCCUAUCGCAUGGUGGGGGUUGGAAAGAUUUUUUGGUCUGGGAUGGGCUCGCGGCCUAUCAGCUUGUUGGUGAGGUAAUGGCUCACCAAGGCGUCGACGGGUAGCCGGCCUGAGAGGGUGACCGGCCACACUGGGACUGAGACACGGCCCAGACUCCUACGGGAGGCAGCAGUGGGGAAUAUUGCACAAUGGGCGAAAGCCUGAUGCAGCAACGCCGCGUGAGGGAUGACGGCCUUCGGGUUGUAAACCUCUUUUAGCAGGGAAGAAGCGAAAGUGACGGUACCUGCAGAAAAAGCGCCGGCUAACUACGUGCCAGCAGCCGCGGUAAUACGUAGGGCGCAAGCGUUAUCCGGAAUUAUUGGGCGUAAAGAGCUCGUAGGCGGUUUGUCGCGUCUGCUGUGAAAUCCCGAGGCUCAACCUCGGGCCUGCAGUGGGUACGGGCAGACUAGAGUGCGGUAGGGGAGAUUGGAAUUCCUGGUGUAGCGGUGGAAUGCGCAGAUAUCAGGAGGAACACCGAUGGCGAAGGCAGAUCUCUGGGCCGUAACUGACGCUGAGGAGCGAAAGGGUGGGGAGCAAACAGGCUUAGAUACCCUGGUAGUCCACCCCGUAA
rnacentral:rRNA from 1 species